CGAUUUGGUUAAGAGUAUCAGGCUGAGCAAUAGCAUCAUAAAAAAUUGCAAUCUGAGAAUGUGCUACAAAGUGGAUUGCAGGAAAUGUGGAAAGUACAGCUGGGGCGGGUGUGGGAAGCACCUGACCACACUGUACGCCAGCAUUGACAAUGGGAAGCAUUGUAUGUGCAAAUCUUGGCCUGGGGUUGCUGUGAAUCAACACUCAGCAUCUUCAUCUUCAACCACCCAAGCUACAGCAACAUCCUGAACUUGAAGAAUGAGGACGCCCCGCCCCUUAGAAUGCUCCUACUGCCUUUACUUUGUUUUGGAAACCCCAUGUCUGUGUUUGAUUUUUCCUAAGUUUGCCUUUUAACUUCUUGUUGGGUGAAUAAUGUUGUGCAGCAGAUGUGAUGUGUGCUAUGCAAAUUGAGGUCAACCCCAGUUGACCAAACUAGUAUUCAAUAAAGUGAAUGAUGACUUCUGCUGUCUUUUUUA